rnacentral:tRNA from 1 species
GGUUCCGUGGUGUAAUGGUGAGCGUUCUGGACUCUGAAACCAGCAAUCGGAGCUGAAGUCUCGGUGGGACCU